ACCUAUAUGCCUAAGUAGUACAAUGAAGGCAUCAGAUCCUGUGUGAUCUUGGAAGCUAAACAGGGUUAACCAUGGUUUAUAGUUGGUUGGGAGACUGCCAAGGAAUGCCAGGUGCUGUAGUUU
rnacentral:rRNA from 11 species